UUUUCCAGGUUCCAUCUCCCGGUGAACCGGAUGCUCUGUCAGCCUCCUCUUCCGAGUCCUUGGCCGCCGUCUGAACCUCUCGUGACACCGCUGCCAACCCCCGAGAGCCCAGCCAGGGGCUCCCGGCAGCGUGCCCGGCAGGUGUGGGGCACCGGUAGGAGCUGGGCGCGCACGGUUACCGCGCGUGGAGGAGACACUGCCCUGCGGCGAUGGGGGCCAGGGGCGCUCCUUCACGCCGGAGGCAGGCGGGGCGGCGGCUGUGGUACCUGCCCACCGGGAGCUUCUCGUUCCUUCUCCUCCUGCUGCUCCUGUGCAUCCAGCUCGGAGGAGGACAGAAAAAAAAGGAGAAUCUUUUAGCUGAAAAAGUAGAACAGCUGAUGGAAUGGAGUACCAGGCGCUCGAUCUUCCGGAUGAAUGGUGACAAAUUCCGAAAAUUUAUAAAGGCACCACCUCGAAACUAUUCUAUGAUUGUUAUGUUCACUGCUCUUCAGCCUCAGCGGCAGUGUUCUGUGUGCAGGCAAGCUAAUGAAGAAUAUCAAAUACUGGCUAACUCCUGGCGCUAUUCAUCUGCUUUUUGUAACAAACUCUUCUUCAGCAUGGUGGACUACGAUGAGGGGACAGAUGUUUUUCAACAGCUCAACAUGAACUCUGCUCCUACAUUCAUGCACUUUCCUCCAAAAGGCAGGCCCAAGAGAGCUGAUACUUUUGACCUUCAAAGAAUUGGAUUUGCUGCUGAACAACUAGCAAAGUGGAUUGCUGACAGAACAGAUGUUCAUAUUCGGGUCUUUAGACCACCCAAUUACUCUGGCACCAUUGCUUUGGCCUUGUUAGUGUCACUUGUUGGCGGCUUGCUUUAUUUAAGAAGGAACAACUUGGAGUUCAUCUAUAACAAGACUGGUUGGGCCAUGGUGUCUCUGUGUAUAGUCUUUGCUAUGACUUCUGGCCAGAUGUGGAAUCAUAUCCGUGGGCCUCCAUAUGCUCAUAAGAACCCUCACAAUGGACAAGUGAGCUACAUUCAUGGAAGCAGCCAGGCUCAAUUCGUGGCAGAGUCACAUAUUAUUCUUGUACUGAAUGCUGCUAUCACCAUGGGGAUGGUUCUUUUAAAUGAAGCAGCGACUUCCAAAGGAGAUGUUGGAAAAAGACGGAUAAUUUGCCUAGUGGGAUUAGGCCUGGUGGUCUUCUUCUUCAGUUUUCUACUUUCAAUAUUUCGUUCCAAAUACCACGGCUAUCCUUAUAGCUUUUUCGAGUAAAGAAGAAAAGCCAACUUGAAAGAGAAAAAUUAAAUGAUAAAAUAAUCUCUGGUCACUAGAAGGCAUCAUUAAUGCAUAUCUGCUUUUUAAUUAAGUGAAGCCAAGUGGGAUUUGCAUAAAGUGAAUGUUUACUAUGAAGAUAAACUUCCUCACAUACACUGUUUUGAAUUCCUAAGUUCAUUUCUUUUGUGAUUACGAUAAGCUAGUUUAUUCUUGUAUAAUUUUUUAAAUGUGGUGUUCACUAGUAAAUUUAAUUUAUGGAAAUAGGUGAUAAAAUUUAAUAACCUAAGAAGGAAACAUCAAACUUUUAUUCAAGCAUAUUAUAUCCAGUGUAUGCUACAGGAUUGAAAUAAAUUGGAAUGUAAUUAUGAAUUCAUGUCUUAGAACUGUUCCCUCAUUAGUAAAGAAAUCUACAAUGUUAGUAAAGGAAAUCUAUGAAAUGUAUGUUCAAGAAUUCUUAGGAUUGUACAAGGAUAAGACAUGCAUGAAAAUGUCAUCUGCUGUAAAACUAUACUGUUGCAGUUUCAGUUAUAAAGGAUGUGUACUGUUACAAAUACCAUUUUGUUCUUAUUAACCAUUACCAGAUAAAGGUAUGUGAGAGAUGGAGAGGAGUGAAUGGUACCUACAAUUUGGAUGCUAAACCCGGGCAUAAAUGGUUCUUCCAGGGAUAUAAAUUUAAAGCAAAUAUGCAAUAAAUCAGCAUUCCUCAAAGGCAUCAGGCAAUGGGAGCCACACACUAGAAUUAGUUCCUCUUCAAUGUAGAAGUGUCAAACAGGAAUAAAAGCCUAACCCACAGUGGUUGUUUUCCAUUUGUGUUGUAUGGAGAAAGUUUGCCAUCAAAACCUCAUUCCCUGUUCCCUGAGUUCAGAUAAAGGAUAAUUACUCUGAGAUGAAUGACUCAAUGAAACUUUCCUUGGAAGCCAACUAUAGGAGUAUAUCCAUUACUAUGUCUUUAUUCCACUUUAGUGUAGAAAGCACUUUCAUAGACAUUUUGGUGUGUGUUCCUCUCAGCAACCUAUAAAUAAGACAGGAAAUGCAAAUGCAAAUUGUAUCUGACUUGUAGAAGUAAUGGAAGCGGGAAGCCAAAAAUAUUAAGAGAUAGAGCUCAUAACCAGGUUUUCAAAUUCUCACACCUGAAUUUUAAUUUGCUGUGGUACUACCCAAAGAUGGAUUUAGGAAACUAGUUUUCUUUUAUCAGUUCAAUUCGGGUUUUUGGUUUUUUGUUUGUUUGUUUCUCUUUUUUAAGGCUUCUCUAAUUUUCAUUAAGUUCUGUAUAACAGACAGAACUCCAUUGGAAGUUCCAGCUAUAUAGUUUCAAACAAGAACUAAGUAUACAACUACGGAAUUUAGUUCUUUUGUGCCUGUGUAUUUCAAGUUAUAUCCCAGGGUAGUAUGUGUUCUAGCAAGAUGAAAGCUGUCUUGUCAAAACAUAGUGAUAUUCAAUGAAAACUACAAAAUAAUUCAGAACUAUAUUAACCUUAUCACAUAUUGCUAAAUAUAUUAUUAAAAGUAACAUUAAA